UUUAAAGUGACAGAAAUAAUGUAAUGAGCUUAAAAUUCAUAUAUAAGUAUAUAUAUACUUCUUUAAAA
rnacentral:tRNA from 1 species